rnacentral:rRNA from 1 species
CAGCAGCCACGGUAAUACGGAGGAUCCAAGCGUUAUCCGGAAUCAUUGGGUUUAAAGGGUCCGUAGGCGGUCUUGUAAGUCAGUGGUGAAAGCCCAUCGCUCAACGGUGGAACGGCCAUUGAUACUGCAGGACUUGAAUUAUUGGGAAGUAACUAGAAUAUGUAGUGUAGCGGUGAAAUGCUUAGAGAUUACAUGGAAUACCAAUUGCGAAGGCAGGUUACUACCAAUUGAUUGACGCUGAUGGACGAAAGCGUGGGUAGCGAACAGGAUUAGAUACCCCCGUAGUCCCUGUCUCUUAUAC